rnacentral:rRNA from 1 species
GAGUCGAACGCUGAAGCCUGGUGCUUGCACCGGGUGGAUGAGUGGCGAACGGGUGAGUAACACGUGAGUAACCUGCCCCUGACUUCGGGAUAAGCCCGGGAAACUGGGUCUAAUACCGGAUACGACUGCCGGACGCAUGUCUGGUGGUGGAAAGUUUUUUCGGUUGGGGAUGGGCUCGCGGCCUAUCAGUUUGUUGGUGAGGUAAUGGCUCACCAAGACGACGACGGGUAGCCGGCCUGAGAGGGCGACCGGCCACACUGGGACUGAGACACGGCCCAGACUCCUACGGGAGGCAGCAGUGGGGAAUAUUGCACAAUGGGGGAAACCCUGAUGCAGCGACGCAGCGUGCGGGAUGACGGCCUUCGGGUUGUAAACCGCUUUCAGCAGGGAAGAAGCGCAAGUGACGGUACCUGCAGAAGAAGUACCGGCUAACUACGUGCCAGCAGCCGCGGUAAUACGUAGGGUACGAGCGUUGUCCGGAAUUAUUGGGCGUAAAGAGCUCGUAGGUGGUUGGUCACGUCUGCUGUGGAAACGCAACGCUUAACGUUGCGCGUGCAGUGGGUACGGGCUGACUAGAGUGCAGUAGGGGAGUCUGGAAUUCCUGGUGUAGCGGUGAAAUGCGCAGAUAUCAGGAGGAACACCGGUGGCGAAGGCGGGACUCUGGGCUGUAACUGACACUGAGGAGCGAAAGCAUGGGGAGCGAACAGGAUUAGAUACCCUGGUAGUCCAUGCCGUAAACGUUGGGCACUAGGUGUGGGGGGCAUUCCACGUUCUCCGCGCCGUAGCUAACGCAUUAAGUGCCCCGCCUGGGGAGUACGGUCGCAAGGCUAAAACUCAAAGGAAUUGACGGGGGCCCGCACAAGCGGCGGAGCAUGCGGAUUAAUUCGAUGCAACGCGAAGAACCUUACCAAGGCUUGACAUACACCGGACCGUCCUGGAAACAGGUCCUCUUCUUUGAAGCUGGUGUACAGGUGGUGCAUGGUUGUCGUCAGCUCGUGUCGUGAGAUGUUGGGUUAAGUCCCGCAACGAGCGCAACCCUCGUUCUAUGUUGCCAGCACGUGAUGGUGGGAACUCAUAGGAGACUGCCGGGGUCAACUCGGAGGAAGGUGGGGAUGACGUCAAAUCAUCAUGCCCUUUAUGUCUUGGGCUUCACGCAUGCUACAAUGGCUGGUACAGAGAGAGGCGAACCCGUGAGGGCAAGCGAAUCCCUUAAAGCCAGUCUCAGUUCGGAUCGUAGUCUGCAAUUCGACUACGUGAAGUCGGAGUCGCUAGUAAUCGCAGAUCAGCAACGCUGCGGUGAAUACGUUCCCGGGCCUUGUACACACCGCCCGUCAAGUCCACGAAAGUCGGUAACACCCGAAGCCGGUGGCCUAACCGUAAGGA